rnacentral:rRNA from 1 species
AGCAGCCGCGGUAAUUCCAGCUCCAAUAGCGUAUAUUAAAGUUGUUGCAGUUAAAAAGCUCGUAGUUGAAUUUCGGGAUCAACGCGUCGGUCGUGCUUCGGUACGUACUGGCGUCAUUGAUUUCUACCUUCUAAGGAACCAUGAUGUCAUUAGUUUGGUGUUAUGGGGAUUUAGGACUGUUACUUUGAAAAAAUUAGAGUGUUUAAAGCAGGCUCACGCUUGAAUACAUUAGCAUGGAAUAAUGAAAUAGGACGUUCGACCCUAUUUUGUUGGUUUCUAGGAUCAACGUAAUGAUUAAUAGGGAUAGUUGGGGGCAUUAGUAUUCAAUUGUCAGAGGUGAAAUUCUUGGAUUUAUUGAAGACUAACUACUGCGAAAGCAUUUGCCAAGGAUGUUUUCAUUAAUCAAGAACGAAAGUUAGGGGAUCGAAGACGAUCAGAUACCGUCGUAGUCUUAACCAUAAACUAUGCCGACUAGGGAUCGGAUGAUGUUAAUUUUUUAAUGACUCAUUCGGCGCCUUAC